GACGAACGCUGGCGGCGUGCCUAAUACAUGCAAGUAGAACGCUGAAGGAGGAGCUUGCUUCUCCGGAUGAGUUGCGAACGGGUGAGUAACGCGUAGGUAACCUGCCUGGUAGCGGGGGAUAACUAUUGGAAACGAUAGCUAAUACCGCAUAACAGUAGAUGUUGCAUGACAUUUGCUUAAAAGGUGCAAUUGCAUCACUACCAGAUGGACCUGCGUUGUAUUAGCUAGUUGGUGAGGUAACGGCUCACCAAGGCGACGAUACAUAGCCGACCUGAGAGGGUGAUCGGCCACACUGGGACUGAGACACGGCCCAGACUCCUACGGGAGGCAGCAGUAGGGAAUCUUCGGCAAUGGACGGAAGUCUGACCGAGCAACGCCGCGUGAGUGAAGAAGGUUUUCGGAUCGUAAAGCUCUGAUGUAAGAGAAGAACGAGUGUGAGAGUGGAAAGUUCACACUGUGACGGUAUCUUACCAGAAAGGGACGGCUAACUACGUG
rnacentral:rRNA from 1 species